UCUCCGAAGCUGAGCUCCCUUCGACCCUUGAGGGCGGCCGGUCGGCAGGGGCAAAGGGGGUUCCCUACAGUGCUCAGCAGGGGCGCCCCACCCACAAUGCACCCGGAGGAGGCGAGAGCGGUGUGGACUGGGAGCCGCGCGGAUAAUCCCUUUGUGAAAAAUAACUCCGAAACAGUGGAAAGAGCACUGGAUUUGAAGUCAGAGGACCUGGGUAUGAAUCCUAGUUCUCCUAGUUCCUGUAUAACCUUGGGCUCAUUUUGUCAUCUGCAAAAUGGGAGGAGGUAAUUUAGAUGAUUUCUAAAGUCCUUUUUAUUCCUAUGCUCCUAUGAUUGUGAACAACUAGAAAGCCAGAAGUGGUUCCGUAUAGAAACAAUCUUUGCUUCAAGAUAUUAUGUGGUCGAAAGAUAUAGAUGUGUUAAAAGAAGCAUGGGCUGAUAGAUUCUUAGUUUCUAGUUGUCCCCUUAUUCUCCCUCCAGCACUUCUAGCUUCCGAUUCUGGGCAGAUUCCUUCCCCUCUCUGAGACUCUGUUUAUCCAUCUAGAUGCUAGACUAGGUAGAUGGUCUUUUAAGACCUUUUCUAACUCUAAGGUCCCUUCUGACUGAAGUUACAUGGUUCUUAAUAGUUUUGCCCCAGCAUUGGGGAAAGAUAACAGUGGAUUUCAUGUAUCCUUGAGUCUUCAUGCAAGUAAGAUUUGUAUUGAGAACUUAAAAACUCUUUGAAGCCUCUCAGGCAGCCCCAGAACCCCUGUAAACAGAAGUACUUAUCCAGGUCCAGCAGAAUCCUCACCUGCCCAAACCCAAGACUGUAAAAGAGGGUGAGAGGCCCUGGCUAGAGUAGUGACAUCUUAGACAAAAGUGACCCAAACUAAACCUAAUACAGUGGAGCUUAUGUGAUGGAGACAGUGAGGUUGAGUCGGGGCUUCUUUUUGCAUUUUCCAGAUAUUCCUCAGAAAUAUCAUUCAGAUCAACAAGCAAUAAGUACCUGCUAUGUGCUCACUUUCUGGGAGAAAUUAAGAAUUGCUUUGGGAAGCUUGUUGAAGGAACAGAAAAGACUUGAUCAGGCAGAAAUGAGGAGAAAAGUGUAGGCCAGUCUAGUCAUGGGAGGUUGAUGAAUAGAGGAGGUAAGAGAGAGAGAAGGAUCAGAUUAGAGAAAGGUGGUCUAGUUUGGCCAAAAUAUAGUGUAUGAAGAGAAAUAAUAUUUAAAAGUCAGAAAGGGAAGGUUUUAAUUCGAUUUUUGAGGGCCUUGGAUACAAGGUUAGGGAGUUUGGAUUUUAUGCUGUGAACAAUAGAGGGCCUCUGAAAGUUUUUUCAGUAGGGAGUAAAUCGACCAGACCUGUGUAUUAGAAAGAUAAAGUAUCACUGGACCAAUGACAUUUCAGCUUCCUUUAGGAGCUAAACACAGUGGAUAAUUCCUUUGAUUUCCUAAAAACAGUUAACUUCCUAAAGGCAGAAGAAUUAAACUAAGUGAUGGUCUAAGGUGUCCCCCAGGUUCCAGAUCUUAAGCAUGGCAGGAAAAUCACUAGCAUUCAGGAUGAACAAAGCCUCCCAUCUGGUCAGGUGAAUUCUGGGAGAAUCUGAAUCAGAUGUCAUCUGGUGAAGAAUAGGCUGUCUGCUCUAGGACCAGCACAGUACCAAGAUGGAUGAUGGGAAUCAGACUUCUGACAUGAAGAAGGAAAAGAAGGGUCUAUGCCCUGUAUAGGGAUGUUUUUUCCUUUCCAUGUGAGUAAUGAUUACAUCUUGCAUCAAGGCGUGCCCCUUCCCGGGUCUGGGAACACAUCUGGGCAAACUGGCUAAGUGACAUUCAUAUCCAAAUAGGGAAAUGGGAACAGAGCCAACAAGCCUUCACUGACAGCAGUGGAGGAGGGGCCUCAGUGGUGUCACGGAGAAUGGGGGUGGGGGAGUGCAGGCCAGAAGAGGAGACCUUGUGUUGCUUUUGUGACCUUGGAUUCUAUAGGAAAUACCACUUCUGGGGGAAGUGGGGUGGAGCACACCAACCCAGUAAUAUCAACACAGAAAGGUUGCGUGCAAUUUUUAGAACAGACAGCCACGUAAAGUCCCUAAAUGAUAGUGGCAGUUCAGGUGUGCAAAACGGUCGUCCAGGUCUGGCUUCCUCUCUGGGGUUAACACCCCUCUACCAUCAUACUUGGUUGUCUCCUCAGAUUAUUUUGAAGGAUAAUUUGAUUUUAUAGAUUAUUUUGAAGCACAAUUUGGUUUUCCCAAACAAUUUGAGGCCCUCAGAUGCAUAUUAGUAAUUCACUGAAACCUGUGAUAAUUGUUCAGAUGACAUUGGGUCACAUAGGUAAAGAAUGAUGAUGUGUCUAUUUUUUUUUUAAGAAAUCUGAAAACACUGAAAUCUAAAAUCAGCCAGAACCUUAGAAACAACCAGAAGUCCAGAUAUUAAUUUAAGUACCCUUUUGCUUUCCCAGGAUAGUCUUAAAUAUUAAAUUACCCUAAGGUGAUGUUGGGAACUGAAAUUAGAUUUAUUAGAUAUUAUAGGCUUAAGUGGUAGCUGGAGUAGGAAGAUCAUGGAAUAUGACCCUAAUACAAGGUUCAAGAAUUCCUAGGCACUACUAAGAAAUAAUUAUUUGGGCAUUCAUAAGCCAAAACCAAGAUAUGAUCACUAUUUAAGAGAGAAUCACUUCACUGAGUCUCAGUUUCCUUGUUUGUAAAAUAGGUAUACUAUCUAUAAGUUUGUCCUAAAAAUGACACCCCCUCCCAUUCCCAGAAAAGGUAAAAUAUAAAAUAUGUCAGUUUAAAGAAAAAGAAUUCAUCUUUCAUGGUUCAGAGAGAGGUAUUUUUUUUUCUAUACUACUUCAAAAUGGGGAGAAGAGUAUUGGAUAAUGGGACAGAAAUGUUUGAACUUUUGUUUCCAGUUCCUUCUUUUAGGAUAUUUCCUUAUCUAUGAAAUGAGGAAAUUUUAUUAGAUUAGGGGUUCUUAACCUUUUGCGUGUUAUAGAACCCUUUAGCAGUCAGAUGAAGCCUAGGGACUCCUCUGAGUAAUAUUUUAAUGCAUAAAAUAAAAUGCAUAGGAUUACAAAAGAAACCAAUUAUAUUGAAAUAAAUGUAAUCUUUUUCUUCUUCCAAGUUUAUGUAUCUCCUGAAAUCUCUCCAUGCAUCUCAGGUUAAGAACCCCAGAUUAAAUUAUCCUACUCUAGUUGUCAUAGCCCUCCCUCCCUUGAGCUAAUGUUUUAUUGCCUGUAACACUCAUUUUUCAUUUAAUCACAUAUGAGACUUAUUAUUAUUGAGGCUGUUUUAUCUAAUUUUUCUGUAUGUCUUGCCCUCUCAGAUGUAUCCGUACCCCACAGCAUCAAGCAUAGGAUUAGACACAUAGGGAGUGGGAAGUAAUAAAGCUGACAUGGGUCUGAGAGAUCCUCUAGCCUUCCCCCUUUCCCAUAUGAGAAAAACAGGGUGAUUUGCCUAAUGUCACACAGUAGUACAAGAUCUGUUCUGAUUUCCCCCUCACUUGCUAGUGUCCUCAAAACUACACACACACACACACACACACACACACACACACACGUCCCCAGUUACUUUGUAUAGAUUUUAUGUUUACCUGCAUGUCCUCCCUACCCCCAAUAGAAUGUCUUCCUCAGCACCUAGCACAGUGUCUGGCAAAUAAUAAAUGUUUGGUGACUGAAAGAAUACAGUUCAAACCCAGGUCAUUGGAUUCCAAAUCCAGGGUUUUUGCCACUGUACCAGACCUCCCUCAGUGAAUUGAAAAAUCAAAAAGUUUGAACUGUCCGCAGUCUUCUCCUUGACACAGAUAAUUUAGAAUUGACUGAUUUGAAUCUGGAAAUUCAGCCUGCCUGACUUAAGAGGUAGUGAUUACUUGGCAUCCACAGAUUCGUCAAAGUUGUUAAAUAGAUCCAAAAGUUAAGUCUAAUGCUUACUUAGACCAGUAGCGUUUUUCCCUGAAACUCCCUUCUGUUAUUGUUGACAAAGAUCUGCUGGCUUCUACAUUGUAUCUGUCUCUUUGGUGGACUUCAGAAGUCCCCUAAAAGUUGUUACCUACUUGUAUUCAGUAGCAUAGGAAUGAUUUUCAUGAUUUAAUGAGAGAAAUUUACAUUCUCAUAGCUAUAAUCAGCUCUGGCAAAAGUUUCCUGGCCUCCAUUUUAAAUCUGUUCUGGUCAUUAUUCCGAGUAAGUGGCCAUCAAGUAGUUCCACACAGCUCCCCCUACCUUCCUGGCUCUGACCCAAACAGGAGCCCAAGCUUUCCUCUUUCCAAAACUGCCUCUUACACUGCCUCGGAUCAUUUCAAGUACUCUUGCCAAUUUCAAAAAAAAAAAAAAAAAA